GUGGGGAAUAUUAGGCAAUGGGGGAAACCCUGACCUAGCAACGCCGCGUGAAGGAUGAAGGUCUUCGGAUUGUAAACUUCUUUGGCCCGGGACGAUAAUGACGGUACCGGGAGAACAAGCCACGGCUAACUACGUGCCAGCAGCCGCGGUAAUACGUAGGUGGCAAGCGUUGUCCGGAUUUACUGGGUGUAAAGGGCGAGUAGGCGGGGAUGCAAGUCAGAUGUGAAAUACCGAGGCUUAACUUCGGAGCUGCAUUUGAAACUGCAUUUCUUGAGUGAUGGAGAGGCAGGCGGAAUUCCCGGUGUAGCGGUGAAAUGCAUAGAGAUCGGGAGGAACACCAGUGGCGAAGGCGGCCUGCUGGACAUUAACUGACGCUGAGGCGCGAAAGUGUGGGGAGCAAACAGGAUUAGAAACCCGUGUAGUCC
rnacentral:rRNA from 1 species